rnacentral:rRNA from 1 species
UCAGAUCAAGCUGAAUCAUCUGGAAAGAUGAGCCAAAGCAGGUGAAAGCCCUGUAGGCAGAAAUUCUGGUGGACGUGUAGUAUCCUGAGUAGCGCGGGACCGGAGGAAUCCUGUGUGAAUUAGUCAGCACCAUCUGAUAAGGCUAAAUACUCCCUAGAGACCGAUAGUGAACCAGUACCGUAAGGGAAAGGUGAAAAGCACUUCGAACAGAAGAGUGAAAUAGUACCUGAAACCGUGCGCCUACAAGCGGUCGGAGUCCGCAAGGAUGACGGCGUGCCUUUUGCAUAAUGAGCCUACGAGUUACUCCUUACUGGCAAGGUUAAGUACUUAAGUUACGGAGCCGCAGCGAAAGCGAGUUCUAACAGAGCGUAUAGUCAGUAGGGGUAGACGCGAAACUUUGUGAUCUAUCCAUGGGCAGGUUGAAGGUUUGGUAACACAAACUGGAGGACCGAACUCAUUAGCGUUGAAAAGCUAUGGGAUGACCUGUGGAUAGGGGUGAAAGGCCAAUCAAACUGAGAGAUAGCUCGUUCUCCCCGAAAUGUUUUUAGGAACAGCCUCGUAUACAGAGUUAUCAUAGAGGUAGAGCUACUAAUUGGGCUAGGGGGCUUCACCGCCUACCAAACCCUAAUAAACUCCGAAUGCUAUGAUAUAUCUACGGGAGUGAGGCUGUGGGCGCUAAGGUCCAUGGCCGAGAGGGAAAUAACCCAGAUUAACAGCUAAGGUCCCUAAUCGUAUGUUAAGUUGAACAAACGAAGUUCAAAUCCUAUAACAGCCAGGAUGUUGGCUUGGAAGCAGCCAUUCAUUUAAAGAGUGCGUAACAGCUCACUGGUCGAGGGUUUGAGCACGGAAAAUAAUCGGGCAUCAAACAUACAACCGAAGCUUUAGGAUCGCCACUAGGUGGUGUAUCGGUAGGGGAGCAUUCUAAACUGCAUUGAAGGUGUAUCGCGAGGUAUGCUGGAGCGUUUAGAAAAGAAAAUGUAGGCAUAAGUAACGAUAAAAUAGGUGAAAAACCUAUUCGCCGUAAGACUAAGGGUUCCUGAUCAACGCUAAUCGGAUCAGGGUUAGUCGGGUCCUUAGGCAAAGCCGAAAGGCGUAGCUGAUGGCAAACUGGUGAAUAUUCCAGUACCUGCUAUAAUUUCGAUGGGGUAACGGAGUAGUGAAAGGACUGCGCACUUACGGAAUAGUGCGUUAAAGGGAGUAGUUAAAUUCUGUGUAGGCAAAUCCGCACGGGAUGACGAACCUGAUAGUACAGCAAAGCUUCGGCCGCGCUGAUAAUGUCCCUAAUCAGACUUCCAAGAAAAACCUCUAAGGUUCGGUUAUAGCAGCCCGUACCGUAAACCGACACAGGUAGUCGAGGAGAAUAUCCUCAGGCGCUCGAGUGAUCCGUGGUAAAGGAACUAGGCAAAUUGACGCUGUAACUUCGGGAUAAGGCGUACUGCAGUGAUGCAGUCUCAGUAAAAUGGUCCAACCAACUGUUUAACAAAAACACAGGGCCCUGCAAAAUCGAAAGAUGACGUAUAGAGCCUGAUACCUGCCCGGUGCUGGAAGGUUAAGGAAGGAUGUUCGGGGUAACCCAAAGCUUCUGACUGAAGCCCCAGUAAACGGCGGCCGUAACUAUAACGGUCCUAAGGUAGCGAAAUUCCUUGUCGGGUAAGUUCCGACCUGCACGAAUGGUCUAAUGAGUUGGACACUGUCUCUACCACGAGCUCGGUGAAAUUGUAGUAUCGGUGAAGAUGCCGGUUAAUCGCAACGGGACGGAAAGACCCCGUGAACCUUCACUACAACUUAACAUUGAUUUUGAACAACAGAUGUGUAGGAUAGUUGGGAGACUAUGAAGCAGCUUCGCCAGGAGUUGUGGAGUCAACGUUGAAAUACCAACCUUCUGUUGUUUAGAGUCUAACCUGG